GAAAAGGUGGUCCUUUCUCAGUGAGAAUUCUCUUGCGUAAUAGAGAGAUUUUGGGAAAUUCUGAGAAUGAUGCCUAUAAAGUGAAAGAAAAGGAGGAGACUGAGAAAAAGGAAACAGAAAAGCAAAGUUAUUGAUUUUUGAGCAGGCCAGUGAAAACAGAGAGAGACACAGAGGCCCACAUAGUUAGGAACACCGUGUGAAGAUGGUGGAAGAGAUUGAAAUGACGCAUCUACAAGCCAAGGAAUGCCAAGACUUACGGAACAAAGUCAUGAGCAGAAGCCAGGGAGGCAUGAAAGAAAAAGUCUUGUGGUGCCCACACUGAGAAGAUGCUAAGCAGAGAUAUAAGGAAACAAAACUGAGAAUUGAGGGACAAUCCAAGGGAAAUAAUUGGACUGGGAAAUGGUUUCUCCUGGCCUGGAAAAGACAUGUCACCACAGAACAAAUCUGAUCCAGAGAACAAUUUAUUUUAGUAUGCCUCAUUUUGCUAUUUCAUUAAUUCAGAAAUACUUGGCCUUUUUUUCUA